rnacentral:rRNA from 1 species
UACGUAGGGGGCUAGCGUUAUCCGGAAUUACUGGGCGUAAAGGGUGCGUAGGUGGUUUCUUAAGUCAGAGGUGAAAGGCUACGGCUCAACCGUAGUAAGCCUUUGAAACUGGGGGCCUUGAGUGGGCGAGAAGAAGGCGGAAUGCGUGGUGUAGCGGUGAAAUGCAUAGAUAUCACGCAGAACCCCGAUUGCGAAGGCAGCCUUCCGGCGCCCUACUGACGCUGAGGCACGAAAGUGCGGGGAUCGAACAGG